rnacentral:pre_miRNA from 1 species
UGUGCACUGGUGGGGUCCCUCGGCCUGGCCUGCGCCCUCUUGCAAUCCCAGACCCCUCGGGGGAUGCCGGAGAGCCAGUUUUGGCCUGAUCCCUGCAGGCCAGGCCGAGGGACCCCACCAGUGCAUC